rnacentral:lncRNA from 1 species
GAAUUUAAACUUCAUAAAAUAAUUACCUGGCAUCAAACCUCCUGAAAUAAUCAAGUAAAAUAACUCUUGGUUAAAUUGAAUUUAUCUAUGGUCCUUUUUUACUUAAAAAUUCAGUAAAAGUUUUGCGUCCACCUAACUUUCAAGCUGUAUCACAGUAACCAUCAUAUGAAUUGAAUUUAAACUCUGGAAAAUGCAUCCCAGUCAUCCAUCUCACUAAAAUAACAAAGUUAUAUAACUCUUAAUGAAAUUUAAUGACCAUUUGUUCGGCUAAGAAAAUUCCGUUAAAGUUUUACAUGCAACCAGAUAUCAAGAUGUAUCUCAGUAAGAAAGCCCUUCAAGUCAUUUGACUUACUGAAAUAACCAAGUGUUUAAUCCAAAUGUUAUUUAUUUUAAAGUACACACAUACCCACAUACCCUUUCAGAAAUCAAAUGCUCACUUGGUUAAGGUGUUUGCAUUUUGCGAUUAACAAAUUCAGGCAUCGAAUCAUAACGGAUUGACCGGGUCAAUGUCGUAUUGCCGUAUUUACUCAACUGAAAGUGGUAACAAAUUUAAUUUGUUGUUGGAUUUAACAUUUUAUGUUAAAUAAUAACUAGCGUAAAUACCUACUUGACAUUUUGGCAGUAUAAAACAGACAUUGCAACCAAAAUUUUACAAGAUGAUCAUUAUAUAUUUAUAUAGAUGUGCCCUAGAAGGAACUUUUGCUAUGCUUUAACUUGUACAGCCUGUUUAUUGAUUCGAAAGAUGACGUUAAUGCUUGCAUGCUUUGUUAAUUCACGCAAGUCGGACAAAAUCGUUAAAAAAAAAAUACAUUUCUGAAGUUUUGCGGUUGUAAACGUUUUUCAACAAUUUUGUAACGAGGACUUAUGCGAGAAAAAUGAACAAAUUUAUAACAGUAAUUGUUCUAGGAUUGAAUCUUGUUUUUCAUAGUCAGUUUGCAACAGCUGGGUUUACAAGGUAAGUAUGUUCGAUUUUCUAUAUUGUCUUAAAGAUAUACCAAUUAUGUCAAUUUUCAGCAGUUAUGUUUUUCUUUAUCUUUCAAAUUAUUACUGUAUUGUUUGAUGUUUACUGACACGCGUGAAGAGAACUUAAUUCAUUUGUAUUGUACAUUUGUAUAUGUAAAUUAGGGUAUUUUAGACCUAAACCUUCAAGGACUAAAUUGACAUCAAAUAAUAAUGUCUAUGUAUUCACAAGUUGCCAAAGUCGUAAAAUACAUGUAUUGCUUUGUUCCUUAUUCAAGAUUCAUACUGGUGCAGUCUUUGACAAUUUGUAAAAAGAUAUAAUAUACUGUUAUUAUUUCUGAUACAGCUGCUGUAGCGCAUUGUUUGUCAGUCAUCGAAUAAUCAAAGUUUGAACGAAUCUAUAGCCAAGAAUAGCCAAACUGUGAUUCUGUUAACCUCAUUCGAAGGUCCAGAAAGUUCUUGAAGGAAAGCAACAGAUUUCGAUAUCAUUUUCGAAGCCAGUGUUUCUCGAACCAACUGAACAACCAUCAUUUGGUGAUAAUAAUGACGAUGAUGAUGAUACUAUAAAUUGUUUUCAAGAACUGGAAACAACUUUGUUACAGUCUACAUUGAAUGAAUAUGCCAGCAGACCUCACUCUUCCGACCCCGACGGUGCUGUGAAUGUAGGUGUUCGGGUGGUAUUUACCGACGUACAGCCAAUACGAGAGAGUAUCGACGUCAUUGUUCAUAUUCAAUCAGUAUGGGAAGACGCACGUCUGCAAUACAACGUUACGUCAGGAACACCGGCAAGAAUAAACGAAACGUUGAUAUACGCUUCUUCAUGAGAAAAUCUGGAAGCCAGACCUUUAUCUUGAACCCGAAUGGACAGUAAAUAACGAUGUUGGGAAAAUGAAUAUAAGAAUUAUAGCUAAUGGACACGUCGGUAAGAAUAAAAGGUUCAGAGCCACGAUUCCUUGCACGACCAGCUUUGUUGGUAUUGAACAUACAGAUUUCAUUUGCAAAACAAGAGUUAUGUCCUAUUCCUACUUUGAUAAUGAGGUGAAGUUGUACUGGGUUGCUGAUGAGCCACUGCGAUUGAAGUAUGGAGCAAUAGACGCGGCAUCAGAAAUAACUGGAGGAGAAAAUGAUACUUGCCACUGGGAUACAUUUGAUGGAAUGAGAACGUCAUGCAUUGGAGUAAAGCUGUUUAUCUCCAAGCGAUUUCCGUCCUAUCUUCUAUCGUUUAUACUUACCAAGUUUCAUGGCAGUACUCAUGGCAUGGUCCAGCUUCUGGAUCCACCGUGAUGAAGCUUCGGCAAGAAUCAAACUUGGAACCCUUGUUGUGUG